GACGAACGCUGGCGGCGUGCUUAACACAUGCAAGUCGAACGAUGAAGCCCAGCUUGCUGGGUGGAUUAGUGGCGAACGGGUGAGUAACACGUGGGCAACCUGCCCCAAACUCUGGGAUAACUCCUCGAAAGAGGUGCUAAUACCGGAUACGAACUAGGUAGACAUCUGCACUAGUUGGAAAGUUUUUCGGUUUGGGAUGGGCCCGCGGCCUAUCAGCUUGUUGGUGAGGUAACGGCUCACCAAGGCUACGACGGGUAACCGGCCUGAGAGGGCGACCGGUCACACUGGGACUGAGACACGGCCCAGACUCCUACGGGAGGCAGCAGUGGGGAAUAUUGCGCAAUGGGCGAAAGCCUGACUCAGCGACGCCGCGUGAGGGAUGAAGGUCUUCGGAUCGUAAACCUCUUUCAGUAGGGACGAAGCGAAAGUGACGGUACCUAAAGAAGAAGCACCGGCUAACCACGUGCCAGCCGCCGCCGUAA
rnacentral:rRNA from 1 species